rnacentral:rRNA from 1 species
GACGAACGCUGGCGGCGUGCUUAACACAUGCAAGUCGAACGCUGAAGCUCAGCUUUUGUUGGGUGGAUGAGUGGCGAACGGGUGAGUAACACGUGAGUAACCUGCCCCCUUCUUUGGGAUAACGCCCGGAAACGGGUGCUAAUACUGGAUAUUCACUGGUCUUCGCAUGGGGGUUGGUGGAAAGGGUUUUUCUGGUGGGGAUGGGCUCGCGGCCUAUCAGCUUGUUGGUGGGGUGAUGGCCUACCAAGGCUUUGACGGGUAGCCGGCCUGAGAGGGUGACCGGUCACAUUGGGACUGAGAUACGGCCCAGACUCCUACGGGAGGCAGCAGUGGGGAAUAUUGCACAAUGGGCGCAAGCCUGAUGCAGCGACGCCGCGUGAGGGAUGGAGGCCUUCGGGUUGUGAACCUCUUUCGCUAAUGGUCAAGCCGCAACAAUGGUUGUGGUGAGGGUAGUGGGUAAAGAAGCGCCGGCUAACUACGUG